CCUACGGGAGGCAGCAGUGGGGAAUCUUGGACAAUGGGCGCAAGCCUGAUCCAGCCAUGCCGCGUGAGUGAUGAAGGCCCUAGGGUCGUAAAGCUCUUUCGCCUGUGAUGAUAAUGACAGUAGCAGGUAAAGAAACCCCGGCUAACUCCGUGCCAGCAGCCGCGGUAAUACGGAGGGGGUUAGCGUUGUUCGGAAUUACUGGGCGUAAAGCGCGCGUAGGCGGGUUGUUAAGUUAGAGGUGAAAUCCCGGGGCUCAACCCCGGAACUGCCUUUAAUACUGGCAACCUAGAGUUCGAGAGAGGUGAGUGGAAUUCCGAGUGUAGAGGUGAAAUUCGUAGAUAUUCGGAGGAACACCAGUGGCGAAGGCGGCUCACUGGCUCGAUACUGACGCUGAGGUGCGAAAGUGUGGGGAGCAAACAGGAUUAGAUACCCUGGUAGUCCACACCGUAAACGAUGAAUGCCAGUCGUCGGGUAGCAUGCUAUUCGGUGACACACCUAACGGAUUAAGCAUUCCGCCUGGGGAGUACGGUCGCAAGAUUAAAACUCAAAKGAAUUGACGG
rnacentral:rRNA from 1 species